CUCUACUCAUAUCAGACCUGACUGAAGAGGACCAGGGAAACUACAGAUGUUCUGUACAGGCUGAUCACAGAGAUCUGAGACUGUCUGUUAAAGGAAGAAGAGAAACUUCAACACAAUCGAGAAAUACAGACAAAAUCUCACCAACCUCACCACCUGCAUCAACAAAAGUUUUUGGCAUUGUGGCAGUUUUACUCUUGGUGAUACCUGGUUUAGUGGCAUUUAUUUGUUGGAAACACAGAGGAAGAAGAAGUGGAGAGAAUUUGAUUACUGAAGAAUGUCCAGAUCGUAAAGUAAAGCAGAAAGAUCGGACUGUACCUGAUGUUACUUACUCUACUGUAUCCCAUGUGAACACAGCUGGAGCAGCACGGGUCCAGAUCAUCGAUGAAGACAAAACUGAAUACGCCUGCAUUAUAACAAACUAAUCCACAGGAAAAUUUAUAGAAUAAUGUUGAAAAUGUAUAGUAUGCUGAAAAAGGUUCUAAAAAUAAGUUCUAAGAUGCGAUACAUUUUAAUAUUGUUUUUUUUUUCUUUUUCUCAUGAUCACAAAUUAAUUUCCUCAUGAUUUCGAUAUAAAAUGCACCGGGGCUCCUCCACAUGCCCACACCCGCUGGCACGUGUAAAACUUUUUUUCGGCUUCCCCCAUUAGGGGUCGCCACAGCGGACCAUCCGCAUGUUUGA